UCCACAGGGGGAAACGGGGAAUGCCAGAGGGGAAACAGGGAAUUCCAGAGGGGAAACAGGGAAUUCUGGGGAAUUCCAGAAGGAAAACGGGGAAUUCCAGAGGGGAAUCAGGGAAUUCUGGGUAUUUCGAGAGGAGAGAACAGGGAAUUCCAAGGAAUUCCAGAGGGGGAACAGGGAAUUCUGGGUAAUUCCAGAGUGGAAACAGGGAAUUCCAGAGGGGGAACAGGGAAUUCUGGGGAAUUCCAGAGUGGAAACAGGGAAUUCCAGAGGGGGAACAGGGAAUUCUGGAUAAUUCUAGAGGGGGAAACAGGGAAUUCUGGAUAAUUCCAGAAGGAAAACAGGGAAUUCCAGAGGAGGGAACAGGGAAUUCUGGGUAUUUCGAGAGGAGAGAACAGGGAAUUCCAAGGAAUUCCAGAGGGGGGAACAGAGAAUUCUGGGUAAUUCCAGAGCAGAAACAGGGAAUUCUGGGUAAUUCCAGAGUGGGAACUGGGAAUUCCAGGUGCUUCCACAGGGGACGGAGGAAGAAACAGGGAAUUCCAGAGGGAAAAGCAGGGAAUUCCAGGUAAUUCCAGAGGAGGAAACAUGGAAUUCCAGAGGGGGAAACAGGGAAUACCACAUACUUCCAGAGGGAGCUGGAGGGGGAAACAGGGAAUUCCAGGCACUUCCAGAGGGGGACACAGGGAAUUCUGGGUAAUUCCAGAGGGGGACACAGGGAAUUCUGGGUAAUUCCAGAGGGGGACACAGGGAAUUCUGGGUAAUUCCAGAGGGGGACACAGGGAAUUCUGGGUAUUUCCCCACCCCUGUGGGAUUUUUCCCAGUCAUUCCGUCUCCCCAUUGGUUUUGGGGGGUCCCUCCCUGUUGUUUUUGGGAUCCCUCCCUGACUUUCGGGUCCCUCCCUGACUUUUGGGUCUCUCCCUGAUUUGGGGUUUCUCCCUGUUGUUUUUGGGGGCCUCUCCCUGAUUUUGGGGGUCCCUCCUUGAUUUCGGGUCCCUCCCUGAUUUCAGGUCUCCCCCUGACUUUGGGAUCCCUCCUUGACU